GUGUUGCAUGAAAGGAGAGAAGGUUAGCACUCUCCUUGUCAAGGGUGGAAGAAACUCUCAGGCCUGACAACAUGCAUACAUGGUUAAGGCACUGUCAGCUACUUCGUGGCAUCUAACCAUCGUUUUUU